UUCGGGUAAUCGCGGGCUGCUGAUGCAGUCUGAGGAAAGUCCAAGCUUGCACAGGCUGCGAUGCCUGUAGUGAUCGUGCUUGCUGAAAAAAUAAGGCAAGGUAUCUAUUUUAUGGAAUAGAUAACGGCAGACAAAAAAGCUAAAGUCUUUGACCACGCUUGAGUAGUCUUGAAAAGUGCCACAGUGACGAAGUAAUAAUGGAAACAUUAUUAGUGGAACGCGGUAAACCCCUCGAGCAGGUAACCCAAAUUUUGGUAGGGGCGCUUCAUGACGGAAAUGAACUAAUCAUGGGGGCGAAUUUUUAUAAUUCGGAGAUAGAUGAUUACCACUGAUUCCAAUACCUGGUUGGAUGACGUACGGAACGUGGCUUAUAG
rnacentral:RNase_P_RNA from 1 species